rnacentral:rRNA from 1 species
UACGAAGGGGGCUAGCGUUGUUCGGAAUCACUGGGCGUAAAGGGCGCGUAGGCGGCCGAUCAAGUCGGGGGUGAAAGCCUGUGGCUCAACCACAGAAUGGCCUUCGAUACUGGUUGGCUCGAGACCGGAAGAGGUGAGUGGAACUGCGAGUGUAGAGGUGAAAUUCGUAGAUAUUCGCAAGAACACCAGUGGCGAAGGCGGCUCACUGGUCCGGUACUGACGCUGAGGUGCGAAAGCGUGGGGAGCAAACAGG